UAAUAAAGGUAGUUUACUUUUAUUAAUUUAUGACAUGGACAAUGUAUUGUUUGGUGUUUUUUUGGAUAAACUACAUUGUGGUAAUUCUUAUUAUGGUUCAGGUGAAAACUUUUUAUUUACUUUUAAAAAUACAAAACAAAAAUCGAAGGAGACAACACGUAUGAUUGGUAAUGAAAAAGUAGGUAACGACAAUAUUUCUACUGUUAUACCUUGUUCUACUGAUUCUACUAAUUUUACGACUAAUAACAAUAGUAUUAUCAAUAAUAACAAUUUUGUUGAUACAGGAAAUAAUUUCGAUUCUCCAAAAGUUAAAGAUACUUUAUAUACAGAACAUAAUGACAUGAAUACGAACAAAAUAUAUAAUAAUAAUAAUUUAAAAUCUGCAAAGUCUUUUAAUGUAUCUUAUCAGAGUGAUUUUGAAAAUAGUUCAAAAGUCUUAAAUAAAUGCUCAACUAAUCCAGAACUUAAUAAAACAUUAGUAACAGAUAAUACAUAUAUAUAUAAUAACAAAAAAAAUGAUUAUAAUAUUAUACAUCAAGAUAAUAAUAUUACUGCAUAUAGUAAUAAUUUAUUUAAAACUAGUAGCAAUAGUAGUAAUAGUAGUAGUAGCAGCCAGAAUGUAGUAAAAAGAGAAGGGUUAUCAAGUAUAGAUAAUGACUUUGAUAAAAGAAAAACUUAUAAAACUGACACGGAUGGUAUUGAUGGUACAAGUGAUAAUAAUGAUAUAAAUAAUGAUAAAAANNNNNNNNNNACAUUAUAUAGAAGUGUUUAUAAUAAAGGUAGUUUACUUUUAUUAAUUUAUGACAUGGACAAUGUAUUGUUUGGUGUUUUUUUGGAUAAACUACAUUGUGGUAAUUCUUAUUAUGGUUCAGGUGAAAACUUUUUAUUUACUUUUAAAAAUACAAAACAAAAAUCGAAGGAGACAACACGUAUGAUUGGUAAUGAAAAAGUAGGUAACGACAAUAUUUCUACUGUUAUACCUUGUUCUACUGAUUCUACUAAUUUUACGACUAAUAACAAUAGUAUUAUCAAUAAUAACAAUUUUGUUGAUACAGGAAAUAAUUUCGAUUCUCCAAAAGUUAAAGAUACUUUAUAUACAGAACAUAAUGACAUGAAUACGAACAAAAUAUAUAAUAAUAAUAAUUUAAAAUCUGCAAAGUCUUUUAAUGUAUCUUAUCAGAGUGAUUUUGAAAAUAGUUCAAAAGUCUUAAAUAAAUGCUCAACUAAUCCAGAACUUAAUAAAACAUUAGUAACAGAUAAUACAUAUAUAUAUAAUAACAAAAAAAAUGAUUAUAAUAUUAUACAUCAAGAUAAUAAUAUUACUGCAUAUAGUAAUAAUUUAUUUAAAACUAGUAGCAAUAGUAGUAAUAGUAGUAGUAGCAGCCAGAAUGUAGUAAAAAGAGAAGGGUUAUCAAGUAUAGAUAAUGACUUUGAUAAAAGAAAAACUUAUAAAACUGACACGGAUGGUAUUGAUGGUACAAGUGAUAAUAAU
rnacentral:lncRNA from 1 species